GCUGGGAUGGCUCAGUCAGUAGAACAUGAGGUUCUUAACCUCAGGGUCGUGGGUCUGAACCCCAUUUUGGGCA